CCCUUAGAUGUCCUGGGCCGCACGCGCGUUACACUGAUGCAUUCAACGAGCUUAUAACCUUGGCCGAGAGGCCUGGGCCAUCUUGUUAACGUGCAUCGUGAUAGGGAUAGAUUAUUGAAAUUAUUAAUCUUGAACGAGGAAUUCCUAGUAAACGCAGAUCAUCAAUCUGCAUUGAUUACGUCCCUGCCCUUUGUACACACCGCCCGUCGCACCUACCGAUUGGAUGGUCCGGUGAAGCCUCGGGAUUGUGGUUCUUGCCGCUUUAUUGUGGCGUGACCGCGAGAACUUGUCUAAACCUUAUCAUCUAGAGGAAGGUGAAGUCGUAACA
rnacentral:rRNA from 1 species